UACGAGGGGGGCAAGCGUUGUUCGGAAUUAUUGGGCGUAAAGGGCGCGUAGGCGGUGCGGUAAGACUGUGGUGAAAUCUUCGGGCUCAACUCGAAGCCUGCCGCGGUGACUGCCGUGCUGGAGUGUGGGAGAGGUGAGUGGAAUUCCCGGUGUAGCGGUGAAAUGCGUAGAUAUCAGGAGGAACACCUGUGGCGAAAGCGGCUCACUGGACCAUAACUGACGCUGAUGCACGAAAGCUAGGGGAGCAAACAGG
rnacentral:rRNA from 1 species